CCUUGAAAUACCACCCUUUAAUGGCUGGUGUUCUAACGUAGACCCGUAAUCCGGGUUGCGGACAGUGUCUGGUGGGUAGUUUGACUGGGGCGGUCUCCUCCCAAAGAGUAACGGAGGAGCACGAAGGUUGGCUAAUCCUGGUCGGACAUCAGGAGGUUAGUGCAAUGGCAUAAGCCAGCUUGACUGCGAGCGUGACGGCGCGAGCAGGUGCGAAAGCAGGUCAUAGUGAUCCGGUGGUUCUGAAUGGAAGGGCCAUCGCUCAACGGAUAAAAGGUACUCCGGGGAUAACAGGCUGAUACCGCCCAAGAGUUCAUAUCGACGGCGGUGUUUGGCACCUCGAUGUCGGCUCAUCACAUCCUGGGGCUGAAGUAGGUCCCAAGGGUAUGGCUGUUCGCCAUUUAAAGUGGUACGCGAGCUGGGUUUAGAACGUCGUGAGACAGUUCGGUCCCUAUCUGCCGUGGGCGCUGGAGAAUUGAGGGGGGCUGCUCCUAGUACGAGAGGACCGGAGUGGACGCAUCACUGGUGUUCGGGUUGUCAUGCCAAUGGCACUGCCCGGUAGCUAAAUGCGGAAGAGAUAAGUGCUGAAAGCAUCUAAGCACGAAACUUGCCCCGAGAUGAGUUCUCCCUGAGACUUUAAGUCUCCUGAAGGAACGUUGAAGACGACGACGUUGAUAGGUCGGGUGUGUAAGCGCAGCGAUGCGUUGAGCUAACCGAUACUAAUGAACCGUGAGGCUUAACCUUACAACGCCGAAG
rnacentral:rRNA from 1 species